GAUGAAGAACGUAGCGAAAUGCGAUAAGUAAUGUGAAUUGCAGAAUUCAGUGAAUCAUCGAAUCUUUGAACGCACAUUGCGCCCGCCAGUAUUCUGGCGGGCAUGCCUGUCUGAGCGUCAUUUCAACCCUCAUGCCCCUAGGGCGUGGUGUUGGGGAUCGGCCAAAGCCCGCGAGGGACGGCCGACCCCUAAAUCUAGUGGCGGACCCGUCGUGGCCUCCUCUGCGAAGUAGUGAUAUUCCGCAUCGGAGAGCGAUGAGCCCCUGCCGUUAAACCCCCAACUUUCCAAGGUUGACCUCAGAUCAGGUAGGAAUACCCGCUGAACUUAAGCAUAUCAAUAAGCGGAGGA
rnacentral:misc_RNA from 1 species